AAUCUGCAUCUAUGAGCCCAGCCCCUGGCCCUGACCGUGAUGAGGAUGCUCUCGGGAAUGACCGGGGAAUCUGUAAAGUACUCGUGUUCCUAAAAGGACCCACGAAACGGCAGUCUACCUGCUUAAAAUUCUCUGAGCCUCUGGAGAGGAGAAAAGUGGAGGCCAUGAAAGAGCUUGACCCAUGUCUGGAUUUCUCUGCCGACAGCUGUAACGUGGUCAGGAAUACUGUGCAUUUUUCUUUCCUGGCCGAAGGAGAGGGGAAAGGAUGCUAAUUCCCCCAUGCCAAACCCAAGACUGGGAGAGGCUCAGUGUUGUCAUGGACCACCUAAGAACCAGAGCUCUAAGAAGUAUGGAUGAGUUACACCCUAGAGCUUGAAGGUGGAAGUCUGGUACCCAGUUUGCAUAACACUGUUGAGAUUAAGAAGAUGACUGCGGUUCCCUGACAUCCUAGGUGGACGUUCGAGCUGGCGUGGAAGCAAGUUGCUUUUCUGUCGACAUCAGUGCAUGGUCAGGGUCUUCACUUUGAUACUUUUUGUAGAGAAACCUUUGCUCCCCCUCCUUUUUUUUGUUUUGCCACGCCUGGAGCAUAUAGAAGUUCCAGGGUCAGGGAUGGAAUCCAAGUCACAGCUGCAACCAGGGCCACAGCCAGGGCAACACUGGAUACUUAAAACACCAUGCCAGGCUGGGGAUCAAACUUGAGCCUCUGCAGUGACCUGAGCUACUGCAGUUGGAUCCUCAACCCACUGCGCUUCAGUGGGAACUCCUUUUGUUCCUUUUUAUAACAGUGGAAUAUAACACAAAAGAGUUACUUUCAAGUUUCUGCACAAUUGAAAUCUGGAUAAUUUUUAACUUCUAAAUUAAGAUUACUGAGUAAAAUGACUGAUAUUUGAUUUUAAAACAAAACAAAACUUUACCAAACCUUAUUUGAAAUAAUGUUGAUUCCUAAAUAUAAGAAGGAAAUUCACAGUGUUCCCCAGUGCCUAAGUAGGUCAAGGAUCUGUCAUUGUCACUGCCGUGGCCCACGUUCUAUUCCUGGCCUGGGAACUUCCACGUGCCAUGGGUGCUGCCAAAAAGGGGGGGGGGGAGAAUUCCCAGUGAUCAUAUCAUGCUAAGACACUUUGUACUAAAAAUGGACUUUGUAGGAAUUCCCAUUGUGGCACAGAGGAAACAAAUCCAGCUAGUACCCAUGAGGACAUGGGUUCCACCCCUGGCCUUGCUCAGUGGGUUAAGGCUCUGGUGUUUCCAUGAGCUGCCGUGUAGGUCAGAUCCCACAUUGCUGUGGCUGUGACCUAGGCUGGCAGCUAUAGCACUGAUUCAACCUCUAGCCUGGAAACUUCCAUAUGCUGUGGGUGCGGCCAUACAAAGAAAAUGAAUUAAAAAAAUAAGAGCAGACUUUGUAAAUUUCAGUAUGUGUUUUAUCUUUUAAAAAAAUAACCCAUUGUUCUUUUUUUCUGUUUUUAUGCUUUUCAAAGAUGGCAAAAAUAAGCCAGAUUUUAGAAGAUAAUGUUAGUUGCAAAAUAAAAAAAAAUACUUGAAGUUAGAGAUCA
rnacentral:lncRNA from 1 species